rnacentral:rRNA from 1 species
UACGUAGGAUGCGAGCGUUGUCCGGAAUUAUUGGGCGUAAAGAGAACGUAGGCGGUUUGCCAAGUUUGAUCUUAAAGACCGGGGCUUAACUCCGGGAGUGGAUCGAAAACUGGCAGACUAGAGGACGUCAGAGGAAAGUGGAAUUCCCAGUGUAGCGGUGAAAUGCGCAGAUAUCAGGAGGAACACCGGUGGCGAAGGCGGGUCUCUGGGCAACUACUGACGCUGAGGAGCGAAAGCGUGGGGAGCGAACAGG